rnacentral:lncRNA from 10 species
UACUGUUUUCCAUAAUGGCUAUAAUAAUUUACAUUGCCACCAACAGUGUACAAAGCUUUUCUUUCCUUUUCUCUGCAUCCUCUCCAACACUUCCCUUUUGUCUUCUUGAUAAUAGUCAUUCUAACGGGUAUGAUUACAGUAGCUUUGUAGUGGGUUUUCUGUGCUGUGCUUUUUAAUUUCAUGUAUGUAAAAAACAUUGGGUAUUUUGAAUGUUUUUCUUUUCUCACCUUAUCCUAGAACUUGAGGCUGGGCGCGGUGGCUCAUCCCUGUAAUCUCAGCACUUUGGGAGGCCAAAUUGGGCAGAUCACUUGAGGUCAGGAGUUCGAGACCAGCCUGGCCAACAUGGUGAAACCCCAUUUCUACUAAAAAUACAAAAAUUAGCCAGGCGUGGUGGUGCACGCCUGUAGUCCCAGCCAAUCAGUAGGCUGAGGCACGAGAAUCGCUUGAACCCAGGAGGCCAAGGCUGCAGUGAGCCACGAUUGCACCACUGCACUCUAACCUGAGCAACACAGACUCCAUCUCAAAAAAAAAAAAAAAAAAGAACUUGGAAAUGCCCCCAUAUAUACUAGUUGUGAUGAAGCAUUAUUUUUAGUUAAGUCAUAUAAGAAUGACUGUGUAUGACCAAAGGCAAAUAUAUGUGGAAGAAACUCACCAGGAAUUCUUUUGUGGGUUUUUAUUCAAUACAUGUCAGUAGGGGAGUUAUACCCCCUUUUUAAUAAGUUUGUGUUAACCUACAGUCUAACCAAGGCAUCUUAUCCCAGUGAAUGCCACCACCAUUCACCCUGGUUCCCAAACUGGUAACAUAGAAAUAAUCUUGACAUAUCUUCCUAUCACUUUGUCAUCAAGUCCUGUCAUUUUUACCUUGUAAACAUCUCUUAAAUGUGUCUACUUCUCACCACACCCUAAUCUAAGCUACCAUCAGCACCUUUUGCCUGCAUGACUGCAGUUGUCUCCUAACUGUUCUUCCUGCAGCGACUCUGGCCCUCCCUGUAUUCACUCGACUGCAAGCAGAAUUCUCCUUUUUGUUCGAAGUUCAAUUUUAAUCAAGACAACCCACCUACCUGCACUUGCACCCCUAGCUUAAAAUGCUCGAAUGGCUUUUUAUUGUCCUUAAUGAUGAAAAGGAAAUAUUUUAUGUGACCAAAUAUAUUUGACCUAUGAGGUCAGAUAUAUUAGGGCCACUAUCUAAAGCAUAGUUCCAAGCAUUAAAAUAGUUACUGUCUCAGAUUAAAACAGUGGCUGGCACAUCACCUCAAUAGAGGUUACCUAUUCUUGUUGCCACUUAGCCUCAUAUGUACCAUGUUUUACUUAAUACCUUCAUUGUCCUUUAAGUAUUCGGAAUGAGAAUUACAGUGCUUCAUUCAGCAUAAGACUUUUGUUCAUGCUGUUUCUUUGGCCUGAAAUAUCUAUCCCUUCCCAAUUGCCUAAUUAAUUCCUAUUUGUCUUUCAGAUCUUAGCUAGUUCAUCACUUCCUCAGGGAAACAUUCCCUAAUUUCUGUCACAGAGUAAGACCCGUUGUUAUACGUCUCACCUGACCAUGUACCUCUACUUAGCAUUUAACACGUGUAAUUUUGUAUGUAUUGGUUUGAUUAAUGUCAGAACCACUAGAUUGUAAACUCCAUGAGGACCGGAAUUUUGUUUCUGUCAUUGUCAUUGUUCAACUUUGUAUUUUUUAUGCCUCAUACAGUGCCUGGCACAUAGUAGGUGCUCAAUUAACUUUAUUGAAAGAAUAAAAUGAAUGGAUGAGGUA